AUACGGAGGAUCCGAGCGUUAUCCGGAUUUAUUGGGUUUAAAGGGAGCGUAGGUGGACAGUUAAGUCAGUUGUGAAAGUUUGCGGCUCAACCGUAAAAUUGCAGUUGAUACUGGCUGUCUUGAGUACAGUAGAGGUGGGCGGAAUUCGUGGUGUAGCGGUGAAAUGCUUAGAUAUCACGAAGAACUCCGAUUGCGAAGGCAGCUCACUGGACUGCAACUGACACUGAUGCUCGAAAGUGUGGGUAUCAAACAGGACUAGAUACCCUGGUAGUCCACACAGUAAACGAUGAAUACUCGCUGUUUGCGAUAUACAGUAAGCGGCCAAGCGAAAGCAUUAAGUAUUCCACCUGGGGAGUACGCCGGCAACGGUGAAACUUAAAGGAAUUGACGGGG
rnacentral:rRNA from 1 species